GUCAAUGGUCAUCAGAUUUAUUUAUUUUUUAAGUUUCAGAAACAUUCACAUGAAAUACACACACACACACAAGACAUUUUAUUGAACUUGACACUAAAUAUACAUUCUUCCAUUACACAUUUUGCUCAAAUUAUGUAAUAUUUACAAAAAUUAGUUUAAAAAACAUUUAAGAAAAGUAAAAAAUAGUUUAAAACAUUUACAAGCAUUUAUAAACAUUUACCCAAACAUCUUUUGAUAGAAGUUUCUCACAUUUACAUCUCCUAGAUACAAACACUGACACAUGCAUACCAAUAUUAUGUUCAUACAAUGUUAAUUACUACAAAUUUAAAUUUACUGCCACUACAAAUAUAAAAAUGUAUGGGCUUCAAAAAAUAAAAUGCAUUACACUUGAGAUAAAACACUGGCAAAAUUAUUUCACUUCACAUGGAACAUCUGUAUACAUUACAUUCUUAUAAAAUUAUAUAACUGUAAAUCCCCAAGCCAUAAAUAAUACCAUUAAAAUUCUAAGACUAGGCUUCAACGCG